UGGGGAAUCUUGCGCAAUGGGCGAAAGCCUGACGCAGCCAUGCCGCGUGAAUGAUGAAGGUCUUAGGAUUGUAAAAUUCUUUCACCGGGGACGAUAAUGACGGUACCCGGAGAAGAAGCCCCGGCUAACUUCGUGCCAGCAGCCGCGGUAAUACGAAGGGGGCUAGCGUUGCUCGGAAUUACUGGGCGUAAAGGGAGCGUAGGCGGACUGUUAAGUUAGAGGUGAAAGCCCAGGGCUCAACCUUGGAAUUGCCUUUGAUACUGGCAGUCAUGAGUACGGAAGAGGUAUGUGGAACUCCGAGUGUAGAGGUGAAAUUCGUAGAUAUUCGGAAGAACACCAGUGGCGAAGGCGACAUACUGGUCCGUUACUGACGCUGAGGCUCGAAAGCGUGGGGAGCAAACA
rnacentral:rRNA from 1 species